GCCUUCGUGGUGUAGAAGUUAGCACGCUAGGCGUUUAUUCCAGAAGUCCAUGGUUCGAGUCCCGGCGAAGGCA
rnacentral:tRNA from 1 species